UGCAAGGUAAUGGUGAAACGGUGGGGUAAAGCCCACCGCGCGGCUGGCAACAGUCGUGGCACGGCAAGCCCCACCGGGAGCAAUGCCAAAUAGGAACCGCAUAUGGGUCGUUUCAACCCCGCAGGUUCGGGUUGGCAGCUAGAGGGGCCUGGUAACAGGCCGCCGAGAUGAAUGAUUGCCCAAGAUUGCGCUGGCAACGGCGUGGAUCUGGACAAAAUCCGGCUUACAGGCUCCCCGCGCAU
rnacentral:RNase_P_RNA from 1 species